CACACCAGUUCUGGGUUUGCUUUUCACAAGAAGCAUUGCAUGAUGUGAAUGAUGCCUCGCACAAAAGAGCUCUCAGAAGACCUACGAUUAAGAAUUUUUGACUUGCAUAAAGCUGGAAAGGGUUAUAAAAGCUGUUCAUCAGUCCACGGUAAGACAAAUUGUCUAUAAAUGGAGAAAGUUCAGCACUGCUGCUACUCUCCCUAGGAGUGGCCCUCCUGUAAAGAUGACUGCAAGAGCACAGCACAGACUGCUCAAUGAGGUGAAGAAGAAUCCUAGAGUGUCAGCUAAAGACUUACAAAAGUUACUGGCAAAUGCUAACAUCCCUGUUAGCGAAUCUACAAUACGUAAAACACUAAACAAGAAUGGAUUUCA
rnacentral:lncRNA from 1 species